AACGAACGCUGGCGGCAGGCCUAACACAUGCAAGUCGAACGCGCGUAGCAAUACGCGAGUGGCGCACGGGUGAGUAACACGUGGGAAUCAACCCUGAGGUUCGGAAUAACCGCGGGAAACUGCGGCUAAUACCGGAUGUCCCCUAUGGGGGAAAGAUUUAUCGCCUUGGGACGAGCCCGCGUCCGAUUAGCUAGUUGGUGAGGUAACGGCUCACCAAGGCUACGAUCGGUAGCUGGUCNGAGAGGAUGACCAGCCACACUGGAACUGAGAUACGGUCCAGACUCUACGGGAGCAGCAGUGGGGAAUAUUGGGCAAUGGAGGCAACUCUGACCCAGCCAUGCCGCGUGGGUGACGAAGGUCUUCGGAUUGUAAAGCCCUUUCGGCGGAGACGAUGAUGACGGUAUCCGCAGAAGAA
rnacentral:rRNA from 1 species